GCAGGACUACUCCCGUGGAUUCAGUUGGUCAGCCGGUCGACGCCGAAUCUGAACGCUCCACUGGUGUCCGCUCUUGCUGAUCGGUGGAGGCCGGAGACGCACAGUUUCCAUCUUCGGACUGGGGAGAUGACCGUGACGCUCGAGGAUGUCUCGUUGAUCACCGAUCUUGCUAUCGACGGGAUGCCUCUCUGUAUGAGCACCGAUUCUGAUGGGUGGCGCGAGCAGAUGAUUGCUCUUAUCGGUAUGGCUCCUACCGAGGCUGAGGCUGAUGUAGAGGAGGGAGAAGAGCCGAAGAAGAAGGAAAGGAAAGCAGCCGGAGCUACUUUCACGUGGAUUCAAGCAAACUUUGCGCAUUGCCCUGCGGAUGCCACUGAUGAUGUGAUACAGACACAUGCUCGUGUCUAUAUAUGGUACGUUGUCUCGAGGACUUUGUUUCCUGACUCCACGGGCAAGAAC
rnacentral:rRNA from 1 species